GCUGAGCUGCGGGGGCUUCCCCUCCUGCCUCGUGCCGAUGGGACCUUUGUGGCCUUUGGAACUGCAUCAGACGUCGUCUACGUGGACACCUGCGACUGCCCCAGGGAGCUCCUGCCUGGCCUGGCUGGGUCUUUCCUGCCCUCAGACCUGGAGCCAGGCUUGGAGAGCCUCCUGCGAGGCAUUGCCAAAGAGGGUCUCUUCCCCAACCUGGUUCUACUGGAUCCAGACGUGACUGCCCGGACCCUACGCUUGGCCCUGCCCCCUGCCUGGACAUCCCAGUCUUCAACCCCUGUGACCUGGUACCCGGACCAAGGCCCCCCCCAGCCCCCAGCCUCCUGGUUCCCAGCCCUGU
rnacentral:lncRNA from 14 species